GUGCUUACUGCACUUUUCUUAUCUACACACGUGUUUUUGUUUUAUUCUUAAAACUUGCUUUGGCAGUGGCUGCUUAAUUGCUCUGCUGCCAGAGGAUAAACUCAACCUAAAUUUUUUAUUUUAAACUAGUCAACUGAUUAUAUUUAUUAAUAGUCAAAACUUUCAACAACGGAUCUCUUGGUUCUCGCAUCGAUGAAGAACGCAGCGAAAUGCGAUAAGUAAUAUGAAUUGCAGAUAUUCGUGAAUCAUCGAAUCUUUGAACGCACAUUGCGCCCUCUGGUAUUCCGGAGGGCAUGCCUGUUUGAGCGUCAUUUCUCCCUCAAACCCCCGGGUUUGGUGAUGAGCAAUACGCCAGGUUUGCUUGAAAGUUAGGAGGAGUAUUUAUAACAAUGUAUUAGGUCUAACCACUCCAUUGUGCUUAAUAAAAAGCUCCAAUCUAUAUUUCAAACUUCGACCUCAAAUCAGGUAGGAUUACCCGCUGAACUUAAGCAUAUCAAG
rnacentral:rRNA from 1 species